rnacentral:piRNA from 1 species
UACACACGGUGUUUCUUUUUCACUUACAGU